GUAGGUGAACCUGCGGAAGGAUCAUUAAAAAUGAAGCCGGGAAACCGGUCCUUCUAACCCUUGAUUAUCUUAAUUUGUUGCUUUGGUGGGCCGCGCAAGCACUGGCUUCGGCUGGUUAGUGCCCACCAGAGGACCACAACUCUGUAAUAAAUGUCGUCUGAGUACUAUAAAAUAGUUAAAACUUUCAACAACGGAUCUCUUGGUUCUGGCAUCGAUGAAGAACGCAGCAUCUGACUGACUUCAACUAAUG
rnacentral:misc_RNA from 1 species